UCCGGUUGAUCCUGCCAGACCUGACUGCUAUCGGAUUGGUACUAAGCCAUGCGAGUCAUUGUAGCAAUACAAGGCGGACGGCUCAGUAACACGUAGUCAACCUAACUCGUGGACGUGGAUAACCUCGGGAAACUGAGAAUAAACCACGAUAGAUCAUAGUGCCUGGAAUGGCUUAUGGUCCAAACAGUUUACUGCCAUGGGAUGGGACUGCGGCCUAUCAGCUUGUUGGUGAGGUAAUGGCCCACCAAGGCGAUUACAGGUACGGGCUCUGAGAGGAGAAGCCCGGAGAUGGGUACUGAGACACGGACCCAGGCCCUAUGGGGCGCAGCAGGCGAGAAACCUUAGCAAUGUGCGAAAGCACGACUGGGUCAGUCCGAGUGAUUCCUGAUAAAGGAGUCUUUUGCCUGUCCUAAAAGCACAGGUGAAUAAGGGGUGGGCAAGUCUGGUGUCAGCCGCCGCGGUAAUACCAGCACCUCGAGUGGUCAGGACGUUUAUUGGGCCUAAAGCAUCCGUAGCCGGCUCUGCAAGUCUUCGGUUAAAUCCACCUGCUCAACAGAUGGGCCGCUGGAGAUACUACAGAGCUAGGGAGUGGGAGAGGCAGACGGUAUUCAGUGGGUAGGGGUAAAAUCCUCUGAUCCAUUGAGGACCACCAGUGGCGAAGGCGGUCUGCCAGAACACGUUCGACGGUGAGGGAUGAAAGCUGGGGGAGCAAACCGGAUUAGAUACCCGGGUAGUCCCAGCUGUAAACGAUGCAAACUCGGUGAUGCAUUGGCUUAUGGCCAAUGCAGUGCCGCAGGGAAGCCGUUAAGUUUGCCGCCUGGGAAGUACGGACGCAAGUCUGAAACUUAAAGGAAUUGGCGGGGGAGCACCACAAGGGGUGAAGCCUGCGGUUCAAUUGGAUUCAACGCCGG
rnacentral:rRNA from 1 species